rnacentral:rRNA from 1 species
GACGAACGCUGGCGGCGUGCUUAACACAUGCAAGUCGAACGGUGAAGCGCCUUCCUUUUUGGUGGGUGUGGAUGAGUGGCGAACGGGUGAGUAACACGUGAGUAACCUGCCCCCUUCUUCUGGAUAACCGCAUGAAAGUGUGGCUAAUACGGGAUAUUCUGGGUCUGUCGCAUGAUGGGUCUGGGAAAGAUAUUGUUUCGGUGGGGGAUGGGCUCGCGGCCUAUCAGCUUGUUGGUGGGGUGAUGGCCUACCAAGGCGGUGACGGGUAGCCGGCCUGAGAGGGUGGACGGUCACACUGGGACUGAGACACGGCACAGACUCCGACGGGAGGCAGCAGUGGGGAAUAUUGCACAAUGGGCGCAAGCCUGAUGCAGCGACGCCGCGUGAGGGAUGGAGGCCUUCGGGUGGUGAACCUCUUUCGCCAGUGAAGCAGGCCUGCCUCGUUUGUGGGUGGGUUGACGGUAGCUGGAUAAGAAGCGCCGGCUAACUACGUG